UACGUAGGGUGCGAGCGUUGCUCGGAAUCACUGGGCGUAAAGCGCACGUAGGCGGAUUGUUAAGUCAGGGGUGAAAUCCUGGAGCUCAACUCCAGAACUGCCUUUGAUACUGGGAAGCUCGAGUCCGGGAGAGGUGAGUGGAACUCCGAGUGUAGAGGUGAAAUUCGUAGAUAUUCGGAAGAACACCAGUGGCGAAGGCGGCUCUCUGGCCCGGUACUGACGCUGAGGUGCGAAAGCGUGGGGAGCAAACAGG
rnacentral:rRNA from 1 species